AUUGAACGCUGGCGGCAGGCCUAACACAUGCAAGUCGAGCGAGAGGCGGACGGGUGAGUAAUGUCUGGGAAACUGCCUGAUGGAGGGGGAUAACUACUGGAAACGGUAGCUAAUACCGCAUACCAUCCGAUUUGCCCAGAUGGGAUUAGCUCGUAGGUGGGGUAACGGCUCACCUAGGCUACGAUCCCUAGCUGGUCUGAGAGGAUGACCAGCCAAACUGGAACUGAGACACGGUCCAGAUUCCUCCGGGAGGCAGCAGAGGGGAAUAUUGCACAAUGGGCGCAAGCCUGAUGAAGCCAUGCCGCGUGUGUGAAGAAGGCCUUCGGGUUGUAAAGCACUUUCAGCGGGGAGGCGUUACCCGCAGAAGAAGCACCGGCUAACUCCGUGCCAGCAGCCGCGGUAAUUC
rnacentral:rRNA from 1 species